rnacentral:rRNA from 1 species
ACACCGGCGGCCCGAGUGGUGAUCGUGAUUAUUGGGUCUAAAGGGUCCGUAGCCGGUUUGGUCAGUCCUCCGGGAAAUCUGACGGCUCAACCGUUAGGCUUUCGGUGGAUACUGCCAGACUUGGAACCGGGAGAGGUAAGAGGUACUACAGGGGUAGGAGUGAAAUCUUGUAAUCCCUGUGAGACCACCUGUGGCGAAGGCGUCUUACCAGAACGGGUUCGACGGUGAGGGACGAAAGCUGGGGGCACGAACCGGAUUAGAUACCCGGGUAGUCCCAGCCGUAAACGAUGCUCGCUAGGUGUCAGGCAUGGCGCGACCGUGUCUGGUGCCGCAGGGAAGCCGUGAAGCGAGCCACCUGGGAAGUACGGCCGCAAGGCUGAA